GUCGGACCCGGACGUGAAGUCGACGAGUGGUCGGUGGGCUGGUUUUGGUAAGCAGAACGGGCGAUUCGGGAUGAACCGGAAGCGGGGAGAAGGGCCCGAGAUUGCGUCGACGCGGAUCCCGAAAAGGGCGUCGAUCCGUCGCGACAGGCGGGACGGUGGUCAUGGAAGUCGAAAUCCGCUAAGAAGCGUGUAAAAACGUACCCGCCCAACGGAUCGGCCCCGAAAAUUGAUGGCGCUCGAACGCAACCCUCGAACCCCGCCGACGGAGGCUAGGGGAGGCCCCGUCGAGUAGGCGGACGCGCGGGUCGCUUCGACGCUCUCGCGCGAGCGGGGGCGGAGCGGCCCGUGGUGCAGAUCUUGGUGGUAGUAGCGAUCACCCAGGCGAGAACCCUGAGGGCCGAAGUGGAGAAGGGUUUCUCGAGAACGGCACUCGCUCGAGAGUUAGUCGAUCCUAAGCUGCCGGCGGCAGCCACGAAACGGUCGAUCGGGCGCGAGCCCGGCAGCCACGACCGGGCAGCGAAAGGGAAUUGGGAACCUCCUUCCCAAACCCGGAACCGGAACGAGGGCGGCG
rnacentral:rRNA from 1 species